CCCAUGGUGGUCCCAUGGCUAAGACUCUGCGCUCCCAGUGCAGAGGCCCCAGGUUCCAUCCCUGGUCGAGGGA
rnacentral:tRNA from 1 species